rnacentral:rRNA from 1 species
UACGGAGGGGACUAGCGUUGUUUCGGAAUUACUGGGCGUAAAGCGCACGUAGGCGGAUUUGUUAGUCAGGGGUGAAAUCCCGAAGGCUCAACCUCGGAACUGCCUUUGAUACUGCAAAUCUCGAGUCCGGAAGAGGUGGAGUGGAAUUCCUAGUGUAGAGGUGAAAUUCGAUAGAUAUUAGGAAGAACACCGGUGGCGAAGGCGGCGACCUGGGUCGAUACUGGACGCUGAUGCGCGAAA